AACCUCCGCAAUGUGAGAAAUCGCGACGGGGGGAUCCCAAGUGCCAUUCUUAACGGGAUGGCUUUUCAUUAGUGUAAAGAGCUUUUGGAAUAAGGGCUGGGCAAGACCGGUGCCAGCCGCCGCGGUAACACCGGCAGCUCUAGUGGUAGCAGUUUUUAUUGGGCCUAAAGCGUCCGUAGCCGGUUUAAUAAGUCUCUGGUGAAAUCCUGUAGCUUAACUGUGGGAAUUGCUGGAGAUACUAUUAGACUUGAGACCGGGAGAGGUUAGAGGUACUCCCAGGGUAGAGGUGAAAUUCUGUAAUCCUGGGAGGACCGCCUGUUGCGAAGGCGUCUAACUGGAACGGUUCUGACGGUGAGGGACGAAAGUUAGGGGCGCGAACCGGAUUAGAUACCCGGGUAGUCCUAACUGUAAACGAUGCGGACUUGGUGUUGGGGUGGCUUUGAGCUGCUCCAGUGCCGAAGGGAAGCUGUUAAGUCCGCCGCCUGGGAAGUACGGUCGCAAGGCUGAAACUUAAAGGAAUU
rnacentral:rRNA from 1 species